rnacentral:tRNA from 1 species
CCGAUGUAGCUCAGUUGGCCAGAGCACGUGAUUUGUAAUCUCGGGGUCGUGGGUUCGACUCCCUCCAUCGG